UACGUAGGGACCGAGCGUUGUCCGGAAUCAUUGGCGUAAAGAGCGUGUAGGCGGCUAUUUAAGUCCUGCGUGAAAUCCUGCGGCUCAACCGCAGACGGUCGUGGGAAACUGGAUGGCUAGAGUGCGGGAGAGGAGAGUGGAAUUCCCGGUGUAGCGGUGAAAUGCGUAGAUAUCUGGAGGAACACCGGUGGCGAAGGCGGCAUCCUGGACCAACACUGACGCUGAGGAGCGAAAGCCAGGGGAGCAAACGGG
rnacentral:rRNA from 1 species